rnacentral:rRNA from 1 species
UACAGGGGGUGCAAACGUUGCUCGGAAUCCUUGGGCGUAAAACGCACGUAGGCGGUCUGUUAUGUCGGAUGUGAAAGCCCUUGGCUUAACUGAGGAAGUGCAUCCGAAACUGGCAGGCUAGAGUACUAAAGAGGGUCGCGGAAUUCCCGGUGUAGAGGUGAAAUUCGUAGAUAUCGGGAGGAACACCAGUGGCGAAGGCGGCGACCUGGGUAGAUACUGACGCUGAGGUGCGAAAGCGUGGGGAGCAAACAGG